rnacentral:tRNA from 1 species
CUCCGCUUGGUGUAGUUGGUUUAUCACGUUCGACUGUAAUGGCAAAUUGUUAUCGAAAGGUCCCUAGUUCGAUUCUGGGAGCGGAGA